rnacentral:lncRNA from 1 species
CCAGUUCAAUCUCCCUCAUCGCUUAUCCUGCAUGUUUAGAAAUACAUGCAGGGCAUGAGUACAUAAUAUUCAGUGGACAUAUGCCGAAAAACAAAUGAAAGCUUGCUCUUAGAGCUAUAAAUUGAACUUGCCACAUUUCAGUAUUUCACAGGGAUUUUAGGAUAAACGAACCUGUGCAUGCAAAAUAUCAAUCAUGAAUAUCAUAAAUAAACGACUGCAGUCAAAAUACUCAUCAUGUAUGUACCACAUCUAUAACUCAUCAUCAUCAAAAGUACUGAGAAGUAGGCCUCCCUCUCAAGUACCGUGACUGACCGACCCGAUAGACGGCUCACAGUCACCCCUGUGCACAAAAUCCCGCCUGUGACAGGACCGAAUUCGUCUCAUCAGUAGACAGUGACAUACAAAUUUAUCAUCAUCAAAACUUGGCAAGUCAAAUAGUUUUAGUCAUCAAUUUAUCUCAUAUCAUUCAUCAUUUAUAAUUUUCAUCAAACUGAAACUUAACAUUUAAAUCAUAUCAUUCAUUUCAUUUCGUAUAAGAGGCCUACGACACGCAGGGGAUCUCUAUAUACGUAGUAAAAAUAAUGCCCACCUAGAAAUCUUAGCUUACUCUUGUCGCACUCGGGUGGACUCACUUCCGUCCUCUUCUCGUAUCUUCAGAUAUCGUCACAUCGGAGUAGUUCAUGAUAAGAAUAAAAGAAAUUAGUCAGAAACUUCCUGACUAAGAAUAUUAUUCCUGUCUUAGUACUAUUCUAUCACUCCUCAUCAUUACUCUAUGUCUAUCUCGAUUUCAUAUUGAAACUCUUCCUAAGUAAUCGCUAUCUUACUCCUGACUCAAUACUCACAUAGAACUUUACUAUACUACUUCAUCAAGCAAACACAUAAAUAUGCAUACACACAAGGCAAAAUAUGUCUCAAGUUAGCACAUAGAAGUAUUAAUCAAGUUCAUUUGCAUCAUAGCAAACAUACUUGAAAAUCUUUUUGUGAAAAUCGAAAAACAUUUUUAGUUGGAGAAAAAUGCCCAAAAAUUUAUUUUAGAAAGUCCAGGACAUAAUAUGAAACAUUCUUAAAUCAUUUAUCCAAAAAUAAUUCACAUCGACAAGCUAUGCCAUUUUAUUCUCAUUCUUGACAAACUAAACUCCGCAUUCCUUUAUCGGAUUUUUUUUUGAAAAUUCACAUUAAACUCACAUAAUGAACAAGAGCAUGAAUUCAUGAUCAAACGACUAAAGAAAAAUCAAACUCGGCUUUCCCUUUCUUAGCACACAUUCGGUCAAACCAUAGACCAAUAGGGGAUGGUUCGUUUCGUCUCAUCUUUCAUAUUUAGACUCAAAUCAUUGUCGAGAAGUCACAUAUAGACACAUUCAUCUCAUAACUCAUCUCAAAUGCAAGAUCUCUCAUAAGCACGCAAACUAAACUCGGGAAAUUUUCAUAUCUCAUCAUUAAUAAUCAAUUCAAUCAUUCUAUUAUCCUUAUUAAGUCCAAUUAGCAUAUAAAGAUAUCAAUUCAAGUAUGAUCUCAUUAAUAAAAAUCCCUAAAUAUUAUAAAUUAACUUAACAAUUUUAGGCAUUCUUAAUAAUUAAUCAAAUUGAUCAUAAAUAAUCAUUUUUAACAUGCUCAAUAUCAAUUAUGCAUAGCCAAUUUAAUGAAUUAUGACAUAGUAAUAAAGUCCAAUUUAGGUAAACUAAACUUUUGAAAAUCUACAAACAUCAUGAAUCAUUAAUCAAACUUAAAACUAUCAAAUUAACUCACUCAAUUGCAUAAUAACUCAUCAAUUAACAAUUCAUAGCAUGAAAAUAAUUUUACCCAAAUCUCAUCAAACUAACUCAUAUCAACUUUCACCAAUCCACCUCAAUCAUCAAUUUAAUCCAUCAAUCAUCAUAUUAGCUAUCAAUAACACAUAUCAAUCACAUUCAUCAAUCAACUCAAAUCAAAAUACCCAAAAUAGGUAAACUAAACUAACUCAAAAUCCAUAAUCCAUUUAAAUUCAUUCUUUGCAUUUAGAAAAGGACUAAAUAGGAUUCCAAUAGCAUAAAUAUGAUCUCAAUUUAAGAAUAGAAGAUGAAAUUUUUUUGAAGGGUAUUUAACCCCAAAUUUUCAANAAAAAAAAGCAAAAGAUAAAAGGUGGGUUUUUUCAUACUAUUUUCAUCCAUAUAAACACAUAUAUAACUCAAAUAUGUUUCGAUCUAGGUAUAUCUAACACUUACUCAAUGAUUUUUGAGUAAAAAAUAGAAUCUCCUCUUCUUGACUCAAGCUUCAAAAUCCUUCAAAGGUGCUCUUGAUUCAAGGAUAUAAGGUUUGAAACUUGAUUUUAAUGGAAAUCUAAAUAUAGAAUGGAUCUUUGAAGCUUGGAGAUUGAUUAUCCAUGGUGGUAGAAAGAGAAAGAAGGGAGGGGGAGAGAGAGUGUGUGUUGGGCGAAAAUGG